rnacentral:lncRNA from 1 species
AAGUGCAAUUUUGCAGAAUAAGUUUACGAGUUCAUUCUCUUCUUUUUCUGGUUCUUUUUCCUGCUGCGUUUUGCAAAAUGAUUUCCUGAAAUUUCAACUUCUUUUCCCCUGGAAGUUCUUUCAAUAGGUAGAUGUUGAGCUCAUAAACUAUAUAUUUGUGUUCAUUGUUGAAAAUCUAUGAAUAUCAUUGGUAAUUACUCAAAACAAUACUGCAAAUUUUUUUAUUUAAUAUCUUGUUGAAAAGAGUUUGUUUUCCCCUAUCCUUGGAGAGUUUGUGGUUCUUCCAAAUAGUUAUUGUUUCCAUGGCGAUUAUGUUGAUGAACUCAGUAACCCAAAUAGCUGAUUUAUUCUUUGUUUCUGGUUGCUUUUACAACAAAAAGUUUUCCACCCAACAUCAAUAGCAAUGGAAGCAUUUGCCUUGAUAUUCUUAAAGGUACAAUCAUACUACAUGUGCCUCAUUCUGUACAUGUUGGUUUGUAUUCUUCCUCAUGGAACUAUCUUCCUUUGAUUUUCCCAGCAAUCUUUCACAUCACUGCCCAUACUGUGCUACAUAGCAGGAAUGUCAUCCAUGGUGCAUGGGAAAAUGUACAUCUAGCAUUAUUGAUCUAAGGUAAUUAAUUUUUUUUUCAUUAUAAUAAUGAGAUGACAUCAUUUAAUGAAUUGUGGCUACACACGUUCAAACUUGGACUAAAUUAAUUUCAACAUAUGGGUUUCCACACAUAUCAUACAUUAUUGUCUGUGUUCGCGUUGCCAUUUAUGACUGGUUCCACAUUCUUAUGCAUUGGCUUCAUCAUUUAGCUAUGUAACAGAUUACAAUGUAUGCUCGGGAUUCAUUUAGUUCUUGUUUGGUCAAUAGACUAACUUGGUUCGGAAGACAAGAAAAAUAAAUCAGGGAUUUGGCUUGGGUUUUAGGUGAUUUUAAAAUUGGUAAUCAAAGUAAACUUAUUUUAUUACUUAGUUAUGGGAAAAAAUUGUUGGGUUGAAGUCACCAAAGUAAACAGCCGAUCCAAUAUGAUGACCAUAAUUACAACACAUUAAAAAAAAAAAUCUUUUAAUAUGCUGAGGAAUAUCCCUAUCAACAAUUAUCUAGGAAAUAGGGACAUUCCAUAUAUAGAAAUAAACUCCCGAAUAUGAUCUUCUCUUACUUUUCUUUAAACCAUUUUCCAAGUUGCAUGCACAUGUUGGAUUGCCAUUAUCGUAUACGAUAGAUCUUCACAUUUCAUAUGCCAAUAUUAUCGAGUUUAGAUUCUCAAAAUUUAAACUCUCUCUCCAGAUAUACUAUUAUUACCCUUUGACUGCUCCUUUGGACCUUACUAAGGUUUACAAUAACAUCCAAUGGAAUAGCACAAAGGCCCAACACGUUGACACAAUAAUUCGUAUAAGACAUGACUGGGUAAGUUCCUCAUUUUAAUUCCAUUAUGUCUUCUCAUUUCUUCAUGCACCUUAAAUGCUUCAUCUCUAUUUUUCAAAGAGUAAAAUCAUAUGUAAAUUGACCGCAUUAAAUUAUGUUCAUUUUCCUUACCUCAUUGAAUACUAAUUAUACCUUCAAAAUAACUCCGCCCGUGCACUGCACGGGCAACAAACUAGUUUAUACAUAAAAUUCAUGCAUGUAACACAAACCAACCCUUCCCCCCCCCUCCCUUCCCCUCAAACGCAUAAUUUAAUUCAUUUUUAAAUAUGUAGUGAUAUCUAUUAUUUAACAAGAGCACGUGCCCAUUUAUUUAUAUUAUAAGAUAUAACAUGAAUCACCAAAAUCAUUUCAAAAUAAAUUUAGUACCUUCCAAGAGCGUAAAUCAGAAGUGGGUGGAAAGAAAUUUGUUAUAUAUUUUCUUCGUGUGUUGAAAUAUUCUUGCAAUUACAAGAAACACGGAAAUCAUUUUUAGUAAAGGAAUGCCUAAGGUUUCUUUCUAAUUUUAGGUCCUUUAUUUAAUGAUAAGAUUGCACUAAUUAAUUAAUUAUCGAAUUCAUUGGAGUCAAAAUUGUGCUAAUUACCAAAUUCAUUACAUUGAAUAUUGGGCUGAUUCCAUUCUUCUUUACUGUCCAAAUACAAAUUCAAUCAAACGAAAAAUAUAUAAAUGUUAAGAUCAAGCCUAUGUUUAAUUUAUUUAAUAACAAAUUAUAACAUCAUAAGCUUAUUAUAAAAUAUCAUAUCAUGUGUUAUAUGUUCAAUUGAAUUGCAUUAUAAUUAACUUUAAUUGGCACGUCGAUCAUAAGGCGUCCAAGGUACACUCCAUUACAAAACAUGGUUAUUCACAAAGACAAUAAAUUUACAUUUCGCAUCAUACAUAUAUGUAAAUUGAA